CACCAAGUUUCAAACCCUAACCUGCAAAAUCCAUGAAAAACACUCCUAAACCAUCCUCUCCUCUUCAUUUCCAUCCAUCUCUCAUCCCUCUCUACCCUAUUGAUCGAUUUUCCUCCUCUCCUUGGGACAAUGGCCCCCAAAAUAAGGUUGCCACAGAGAAGGAAGUCUGUAAGGUCUUUGGAGGCUGAGGAAUGGAGGAAA
rnacentral:lncRNA from 1 species